CAGCCAGAGGAGCACAGGUGAAGGCAAUUCAACAAUUCACCUGUGCUGCUCCUAGACCUAUUUAAGAGCUGGCUACCAGUAGGGAAGGAUCUCUUCUGGAGAUCUGCUCUGCUGGAGUUUUGUGAGUGAGCCCAGGAUAGGGCUGCAGACUUCAUGAAGCUGUGAUAUCUUUGAACACACAGCUACACUCCUUAAUCUUCAGAUGAAACACCAUCUAAGUACCUGGUUAAAAGGGCAGCAGCCAAGGUCUGGGCUGGAAGAGGGAGCAGGUCACACAGCAGAAGUUCCAGGACCCACUAUAAGACUGGAGCAGCAAACUGAUCAGACUGACCACGCUGCUCAGGAUCUCUCCAGCUGGCACAAGAGAAGCACUGCUGAUUUUUGAAAGCCAUCCCUAUUGUGUAACCCUGAGCCAAAAAGCGUUUUCUACCAGUUGCUGAGCGCUUGCCACUCUUGAUGUAAAAUGUUCAAACAGCAAAGUUGAUUAAAACUGGGAAUUUGUUCUAAUGUCUUCUUUCAAAACAAUCCUUACUGUUGUAAUGUUCAUUUAAAUCUCUGCUUUUGAGUAGUUAAGUGGGUUCUGCUAGGAUGUUCCUUACAAGACUGUAGCAAUAAGCUUUAGAGCAAGAAAGGGACCAUUAUAAACAUUCUUCUCGAAAUUCCUAUGUCAUAAUGGCUAGAGAGACUCAAUCCAAUUAUUUCCACAUCAGACUUCUGCCCUGAGCUGCAGCUGGAGCCUUAA